rnacentral:tRNA from 1 species
AAGGACUUAGGAUAAUACAGACCAUGAGCCUUCAAAGCUCCAAGUAGGAGUGAAAAUCUCCUAGUCCUUG